rnacentral:sRNA from 1 species
AAGUGUGCAAAUUAAACUUUUAACAUCUACGUGUAGGAAUCCCGUUCUGCUUCCAGAAGUGGAAGUGCUCACGGAUCGGGGAAAUCUGCAAGGCAUACCCCUGCAAGGUCUCGCUCCAAGGAAGAUUCCAGGCGUUCCAGAUCAAAGUCCAGGUCCCGAUCUGAAUCUAGGUCUAGAUCCAGAAGAAGCUCCCGAAGGCAUUAUACCCGGUCACGGUCUCGCUCCCGCUCCCAUAGACGAUCACGUAGCAGGUCUUACAGUCGAGAUUAUCGUAGACGGCACAGCCACAGCCAUUCUCCCAUGUCUACUCGCAGGCGUCAUGUUGGGAAUCGGGUAAGAUGAAAAACUGGUUUUGAAGCAGUGAACUGCCUAAAUUUACUUAAAGUUAGAGCUGAUUUUGACAAUAGAGCUUUAGCAGUGGGUGCGUGAGUGAAAUCUUCAGAGGCUUUUUUAGUGUUUUGAGAGAGUCUUUUAAGUUAAUCUUCCAUGACGGGGUCUGCAUUUGGGCUACCUGUCAUUUAAGCAGAAUACUGACACAAUGGUGUGACUCCUUAGCCCAUC